rnacentral:rRNA from 1 species
AUACGGGAGGCAGCAGUGGGGAAUUUUGGACAAUGGGGGCAACCCUGAUCCAGCCAUGCCGCGUGUGUGAAGAAGGCCUUCGGGUUGUAAAGCACUUUCGGACGGAACGAAAUCGCGCGGGUGAACAUCCCGCGUGGAUGACGGUACCGUAAGAAGAAGCACCGGCUAACUACGUGCCAGCAGCCGCGGUAAUACGUAGGGUGCGAGCGUUAAUCGGAAUUACUGGGCGUAAAGUGUGCGCAGGCGGCCGAGCAAGUCGAGUGUGAAAUCCCCGGGCUUAACUUGGGAAUUGCGCUCGAAACUACUUGGCUCGAGUGUGGCAGAGGAAGGUGGAAUUCCACGUGUAGCGGUGAAAUGCGUAGAGAUGUGGAGGAACACCGAUGGCGAAGGCAGCCUUCUGGGCCAACACUGACGCUCAUGCACGAAAGCGUGGGGAGCAAACAGGAUUAGAUACCCCGGUAGC